rnacentral:rRNA from 1 species
CACAUGCAAGUCGAACGGUAGCACAGAGGAGCUUGCUCCUUGGGUGACGAGUGGCGGACGGGUGAGUAAUGUCUGGGAAACUGCCCGAUGGAGGGGGAUAACUACUGGAAACGGUAGCUAAUACCGCAUAACGUCGCAAGACCAAAGAGGGGGACCUUCGGGCCUCUUGCCAUCGGAUGUGCCCAGAUGGGAUUAGCUAGUAGGUGGGGUAACGGCUCACCUAGGCGACGAUCCCUAGCUGGUCUGAGAGGAUGACCAGCCACACUGGAACUGAGACACGGUCCAGACUCCUACGGGAGGCAGCAGUGGGGAAUAUUGCACAAUGGGCGCAAGCCUGAUGCAGCCAUGCCGCGUGUAUGAAGAAGGCCUUCGGGUUGUAAAGUACUUUCAGCGAGGAGGAAGGCGUUGUGGUUAAUAACCGCAACGAUUGACGUUACUCGCAGAAGAAGCACCGGCUAACUCCGUGCCAGCAGCCGCGGUAAUACGGAGGGUGCAAGCGUUAAUCGGAAUUACUGGGCGUAAAGCGCACGCAGGCGGUCUGUCAAGUCGGAUGUGAAAUCCCCGGGCUCAACCUGGGAACUGCAUCCGAAACUGGCAGGCUAGAGUCUUGUAGAGGGGGGUAGAAUUCCAGGUGUAGCGGUGAAAUGCGUAGAGAUCUGGAGGAAUACCGGUGGCGAAGGCGGCCCCCUGGACAAAGACUGACGCUCAGGUGCGAAAGCGUGGGGAGCAAACAGGAUU